rnacentral:rRNA from 1 species
GGGUUGUGAGGUUAAGCGACUAAGCGUACACGGUGGAUGCCCUGGCAGUCAGAGGCGAUGAAGGACGUGCUAAUCUGCGAUAAGCGUCGGUAAGGUGAUAUGAACCGUUAUAACCGGCGAUUUCCGAAUGGGGAAACCCAGUGUGUUUCGACACACUAUCAUUAACUGAAUCCAUAGGUUAAUGAGGCGAACCGGGGGAACUGAAACAUCUAAGUACCCCGAGGAAAAGAAAUCAACCGAGAUUCCCCCAGUAGCGGCGAGCGAACGGGGAGGAGCCCAGAGCCUGAAUCAGUGUGUGUGUUAGUGGAAGCGUCUGGAAAGGCGCGCGAUACAGGGUGACAGCCCCGUACACAAAAAUGCACAUGCUGUGAGCUCGAUGAGUAGGGCGGGACACGUGGUAUCCUGUCUGAAUAUGGGGGGACCAUCCUCCAAGGCUAAAUACUCCUGACUGACCGAUAGUGAACCAGUACCGUGAGGGAAAGGCGAAAAGAACCCCGGCGAGGGGAGUGAAAAAGAACCUGAAACCGUGUACGUACAAGCAGUGGGAGCACGCUUAGGCGUGUGACUGCGUACCUUUUGUAUAAUGGGUCAGCGACUUAUAUUCUGUAGCAAGGUUAACCGAAUAGGGGAGCCGAAGGGAAACCGAGUCUUAACUGGGCGUUAAGUUGCAGGGUAUAGACCCGAAACCCGGUGAUCUAGCCAUGGGCAGGUUGAAGGUUGGGUAACACUAACUGGAGGACCGAACCGACUAAUGUUGAAAAAUUAGCGGAUGACUUGUGGCUGGGGGUGAAAGGCCAAUCAAACCGGGAGAUAGCUGGUUCUCCCCGAAAGCUAUUUAGGUAGCGCCUCGUGAAUUCAUCUCCGGGGGUAGAGCACUGUUUCGGCAAGGGGGUCAUCCCGACUUACCAACCCGAUGCAAACUGCGAAUACCGGAGAAUGUUAUCACGGGAGACACACGGCGGGUGCUAACGUCCGUCGUGAAGAGGGAAACAACCCAGACCGCCAGCUAAGGUCCCAAAGUCAUGGUUAAGUGGGAAACGAUGUGGGAAGGCCCAGACAGCCAGGAUGUUGGCUUAGAAGCAGCCAUCAUUUAAAGAAAGCGUAAUAGCUCACUGGUCGAGUCGGCCUGCGCGGAAGAUGUAACGGGGCUAAACCAUGCACCGAAGCUGCGGCAGCGACGCUUAUGCGUUGUUGGGUAGGGGAGCGUUCUGUAAGCCUGUGAAGGUGUGCUGUGAGGCAUGCUGGAGGUAUCAGAAGUGCGAAUGCUGACAUAAGUAACGAUAAAGCGGGUGAAAAGCCCGCUCGCCGGAAGACCAAGGGUUCCUGUCCAACGUUAAUCGGGCAGGGUGAGUCGACCCCUAAGGCGAGGCCGAAAGGCGUAGUCGAUGGGAAACAGGUUAAUAUUCCUGUACUUGGUGUUACUGCGAAGGGGGGACGGAGAAGGCUAUGUUGGCCGGGCGACGGUUGUCCCGGUUUAAGCGUGUAGGCUGGUUUUCCAGGCAAAUCCGGAAAAUCAAGGCUGAGGCGUGAUGACGAGGCACUACGGUGCUGAAGCAACAAAUGCCCUGCUUCCAGGAAAAGCCUCUAAGCAUCAGGUAACAUCAAAUCGUACCCCAAACCGACACAGGUGGUCAGGUAGAGAAUACCAAGGCGCUUGAGAGAACUCGGGUGAAGGAACUAGGCAAAAUGGUGCCGUAACUUCGGGAGAAGGCACGCUGAUAUGUAGGUGAAGUCCCUCGCGGAUGGAGCUGAAAUCAGUCGAAGAUACCAGCUGGCUGCAACUGUUUAUUAAAAACACAGCACUGUGCAAACACGAAAGUGGACGUAUACGGUGUGACGCCUGCCCGGUGCCGGAAGGUUAAUUGAUGGGGUCAGCGCAAGCGAAGCUCUUGAUCGAAGCCCCGGUAAACGGCGGCCGUAACUAUAACGGUCCUAAGGUAGCGAAAUUCCUUGUCGGGUAAGUUCCGACCUGCACGAAUGGCGUAAUGAUGGCCAGGCUGUCUCCACCCGAGACUCAGUGAAAUUGAACUCGCUGUGAAGAUGCAGUGUACCCGCGGCAAGACGGAAAGACCCCGUGAACCUUUACUAUAGCUUGACACUGAACAUUGAGCCUUGAUGUGUAGGAUAGGUGGGAGGCUUAGAAGUGUGGACGCCAGUCUGCAUGGAGCCGACCUUGAAAUACCACCCUUUAAUGUUUGAUGUUCUAACGUUGACCCGUAAUCCGGGUUGCGGACAGUGUCUGGUGGGUAGUUUGACUGGGGCGGUCUCCUCCUAAAGAGUAACGGAGGAGCACGAAGGUUGGCUAAUCCUGGUCGGACAUCAGGAGGUUAGUGCAAUGGCAUAAGCCAGCUUGACUGCGAGCGUGACGGCGCGAGCAGGUGCGAAAGCAGGUCAUAGUGAUCCGGUGGUUCUGAAUGGAAGGGCCAUCGCUCAACGGAUAAAAGGUACUCCGGGGAUAACAGGCUGAUACCGCCCAAGAGUUCAUAUCGACGGCGGUGUUUGGCACCUCGAUGUCGGCUCAUCACAUCCUGGGGCUGAAGUAGGUCCCAAGGGUAUGGCUGUUCGCCAUUUAAAGUGGUACGCGAGCUGGGUUUAGAACGUCGUGAGACAGUUCGGUCCCUAUCUGCCGUGGGCGCUGGAGAACUGAGGGGGCUGCUCCUAGUACGAGAGGACCGGAGUGGACGCAUCACUGGUGUUCGGGUUGUCAUGCCAAUGGCACUGCCCGGUAGCUAAAUGCGGAAGAGAUAAGUGCUGAAAGCAUCUAAGCACGAAACUUGCCCCGAGAUGAGUUCUCCCUGACCCUUUAAGGGUCCUGAAGGAACGUUGAAGACGACGACGUUGAUAGGCCGGGUGUGUAAGCGCAGCGAUGCGUUGAGCUAACCGGUACUAAUGAACCGUGAGGCUUAACCUUACAACGCCGAAGGUGUUU